CCUACGGGAGGCAGCAGUGGGGAAUAUUGGACAAUGGGGGAAACCCUGAUCCAGCGACGCCGCGUGAGUGAAGAAGUAUUUCGGUAUGUAAAGCUCUAUCAGCAGGAAAGAAAAUGACGGUACCUGACUAAGAAGCCCCGGCUAACUACGUGCCAGCAGCCGCGGUAAUAUGUAGGGGGCAAGCGUUAUCCGGAUUUACUGGGUGUAAAGGGAGCGUAGACGGCUGCGCAAGUCAGGAGUGAAAUGCCGGGGCCCAACCCCGGAACUGCUCUGGAAACUGUGGAGCUGGAGUGCAGGAGAGGUAGGCGGAAUGCCUGGUGUAGCGGUGAAAUGCGUAGAUAUCAGGAGGAACACCGGCGGCGAAGGCGGCUUGCUGGACUGUAACUGACGGUGAGGCUCGAAGGCGUGGGGAGCAAACAGGAUUAGAUACCCCUGUAGUC
rnacentral:rRNA from 1 species